UUUUGUAAUCAUAUGUAUGUUGUCAUAACAAAGUUUUUAAACCAUGGAUCACAAAAUUUGAAUCUGAGAUUUUUAACAGUUUUAGUAAUUUAUAGUCGUUUUUAGAACUUCAAAAUAUAACACAUAAAGAAAAGUCUAAAUUUUAUUAUAUGAUUAAUAUGGUUGUUUAAUUUAUUUUAAUAGUUUAAAAUUAAAUAAAUAUGAUAGAAGAUACACUAAUUUUUAUCAAUUUUUUUUAUUAUUCAAAAUCAUUAACUAUCAUAUAUACUUUAGCCACAUUAGAAAAUUCCGUAAUUUUUAUUUAAGGAAAUAAUAAAGAAUAUUAAUAAUGAAUUUAUUCCUAGUUUAAUAAAAUGAUUAUUAUAUAUUUAGAUGGACCAACAUAUUUUUAUAAGAAUUCUAAGAAUCAUUUUAGUGAUGACACCUCACUACCAAAAACUGUUGUAAUUCUUCUCAAUUAAUAUAUGGCUUUUUGCAAAUAUGACUUAAAACUUGAAUUCAAACACAAAAUUAACCAUUUUUUUUUUAACUUUGACUUGCCUCUUUCACCCCAAAGUUCAGAUUAUUCACGAAAAUGCCAUCAUUUUUUUGUCUUCAAAAAUGUCUAUUUUACUCUAUCACCCU
rnacentral:lncRNA from 1 species